rnacentral:rRNA from 1 species
AAGGCUCCAGCUUGCUGGGGUACACGAGUGGCGAACGGGUGAGUAACACGUGGGUGACCUGCCCUGCACUUCGGGAUAAGCCUGGGAAACUGGGUCUAAUACCGGAUAGGACCGCACCGUGAGGGUGUGGUGGAAAGUUUUUUCGGUGUGGGAUGGGCCCGCGGCCUAUCAGCUUGUUGGUGGGGUAAUGGCCUACCAAGGCGGCGACGGGUAGCCGGCCUGAGAGGGUGGACGGCCACAUUGGGACUGAGACACGGCCCAGACUCCUACGGGAGGCAGCAGUGGGGAAUAUUGCACAAUGGGCGGAAGCCUGAUGCAGCGACGCCGCGUGGGGGAUGACGGCCUUCGGGUUGUAAACUCCUUUCACCAUCGACGAAGGGUUUCUGACGGUAGAUGGAGAAGAAGCACCGGCUAACUACGUGCCAGCAGCCGCGGUAAUACGUAGGGUGCGAGCGUUGUCCGGAAUUACUGGGCGUAAAGAGCUCGUAGGUGGUUUGUCGCGUCGUCUGUGAAAUUCCGGGGCUUAACUCCGGGCGUGCAGGCGAUACGGGCAUAACUUGAGUACUGUAGGGGAGACUGGAAUUCCUGGUGUACGGUGAAAUGCGCAGAUAUCAGGAGGAACACCGGUGGCGAAGGCGGGUCUCUGGGCAGUAACUGACGCUGAGGAGCGAAAGCAUGGGGAGCGAACAGGAUUAGAUACCCUGGUAGUCCAUGCCGUAAACGGUGGGCCCCCGGUGUGGGUUUCCUUCCACGGGAUCCGUGCCGUAGCUAACGCAUUAAGCGCCCCGCCUGGGGAGUACGCCGCAAG